CUCGCCAGCUCUGGCCUCUGGCGUCUCCCCCCUUGAAACAAGCCGAGUCAUGCGGGGGGAAGAACAGGAGGCGGCCGGAGGAGAAGGAAUCGCAACAGAUCGGGAAGGAAAACGAGGGAGCUUUCUUACUUUGAGGGGAAUGUUGUCUGGCUCGAGGUGCGCAGAAAUUAAACCUGGUGAUCGAUGGAGAUCUCAUCGAUCUAGGUUGAUCUCGGACCAGGCUUCAUUCCCCUCAAGUAGAGCUCCCGGUUGUUCCGCGCGCGCCGAUCCCCCUCUUGUUCUUGCCUCGCGCUCGCAUGGUGAGUUUCUCUCGGUCAUCGAUCUUGCGCGAUUUUCUAGAUCUCUUGGCCGGUUUGAACAUCUGAUGGCUCGCGUGAUCUAGCUAGGUUAUUGUGCCCACGCGCGGCUGCAACCAUGCAUGAUUAGGAUAUGAUUAUCUCGGCGAAUGUUUCCCUUGUGUUGGGUUUCGUGCGAUCUAGCAUGCAGCAGAUUGGUGCAAUCAUGAGGAUUCUUGACUCUGAAUAACCUGCAUGCUUUCUCCAAUUCUCCUCUUUCUUUAAACUAUGGCAUGUCAUCUUGCUUGUUAGUUGUGGUCUUUUUCCCAUGCCCACUUUUUCCGAGAUCCCUAAUCUGACAGGAGAAAGAUGGGGGGAAAAGUUUGUGUAUCAUCGAUGACUUUUACAUGAAGGAUCUUCUUAUCUUCUCUUUUGAUCCGUACUAUAGCAUCUUUAUCUUUCUCUCUCCUAGACCUAGCUGCGCUAAUCUCCCUUUUCAUGUCAAGAGAUCUAGUGUUAACUAAAUCCCCAUCUAACGCUAGUCAUAUUGCAUCAAUCUGUAUAGCUGGUACCAUAUAUAUAUCUCCUGAAUACCAAAAGUUCUUUCUCAUAAAUAGCUAGAUCAAUCCAACAAGUGUUGCUAGUUCCCUAUUUGAUCUCCACAAACUAAGAGCAAGGGAUAACUUAAAAGAACGAUACUGUAUCCGGCCCGAUGUGUGUUUCUGAAUAGUGAAGACGAAGGAGCAUACAACAUGCGCACCUUUUUGCCUGAGCUCAUAUGUGUGUUCUCUUGAUGCAGAAUAAAUACUGCCAUCUACUAACAUCAAUUGCAGAUUUGUUUCUUCGGAAGACCAGGCCAAAAAUUAACGUACUGGGGUGUGGUUCAUGAGUAGUUGUCCCAUUCCCUUUGUUUCCUCAUACAUCAAAGCAGGACACAUCAUGCUGCUGAUGAACCUGUCCCACGGGGGGCAUGGCCAUGGGGCAGGCUCCAACAAGCUAAGUUAAGCAGGCCUGUAACUUUGCAAUUCUGCAUUCACCCCCGCCAUGUGCUAUACCUUCCAACUAUGUGCACGUUAUCAUGAAACAUUCCAUGAAUGUUUAGCGGUAGAGCCUACAUAUAUACAACUAUGUAAAGGGCUAUCGUAAUGGCGCUUUAUGGCUGUUCUAACUAUACCGCUUAUAGUGUGCUAGUAGGAAGUGAUUAUUCCAUAUGACAUCGUAUGCAUUUAUUUGGAUAAAUCAAAAGUGACAUAAAUCACAUUGUUGGUGGCUCACUUAUAUGAAAGAAAUGUCUCCGAAGACCAAAACACAUGUUAGUAACGGCACCCUACAAAUGGUUUUUUGCUUAAGUUGUUUCUCGAUCAUAUUCACAUUCUUGUGCUCACAAUGUUGAUACACAUGCAGCGUACUAGUAUAUACUCUUUCAAUAUAUGCAUCUGACUGGCGCAGGUUAAUGCACAAAGGACGCAGAUUUUAAUAUAUGCAGGUAACUUGUUGUCAGGCGGCACAGCAGCCAGCUGGUUAACUUUUUUGGCAGGUCAGGAGUGAGUACGUCGUUUGAGGUUUGUGCUCAACAAGUUCAUGUGCGAUGCUUUCUUUCUUUCUUUUUUUCUUUUUUUGCUAGGAAGUUCAUUUGCAGUGUUGAUUAGCUGUGGUGUCCUUUUGAAGAAGGGACAGAGGUCGGGAACCUUCAGGCAACACAAAUUGGAGAAGCGGUUGAGCAAGACAGUCACGUGCAUGCAAUGGAAUUAUCCUUUUUUAAGUGUGUGCAUCAAGUACCAUUGUCUUGUUGGAGAUUCGGAGGAGGUGACAUGGGGCAGGAUAUAAUUAGGUGUACCAAAACCCUAAAGUGAGCCAAGGCAUAGCAAUGGUUUAGGUCAUUAGGUGUCCUUGUUCUGCGCACCGUACUAAAAUAUACUCCUUGGUGGAAUUGGUGUUUCAGGCUUCAUAUCUAUCCGUGGAUGCCAAUUUUUGUCUACAACAUACAUUGGUUAGAACUCUGAAUCAAAGAGGAUAGUAAAGUUUCUCACUCCAAAUACUAGAUUCAGAACUCGGAUGGGUUAAAAAAAAUAGAGUAUCCUUGACUUGUGCUA